UUUUUGCCAUUUCUUGGGCCGCUCCAGCAGCAUAUGGAGGUUCCCAGGCUAGGGGUCCAAUCGGAGCUGUAGCCACCAGACUAUGCCAGAGCCACAGCAACUCGGGAUCCGAGUCGCGUCUGCAACCUACACCACAGCUCAUGGCAACGCCAGAUCGUUAACCCACUGAGCAAGGGCAGGGACCGAACCCACAACCUCAUGGUUCCUAGUCGGAUUCGUUAACCACUGCACCAUGACGGGAACUCCAUGUUUGUUUAUUUUUGAAUGAAUGCUGGCCAUCAUGUUUGAAAAUUAAAUGUUUUUAAAAGUAAUGUGAGGCCAACUUAGAUGAAGUCACCUUCUUUUCAGAGAUGUUUUUUGAUUGUUUGUUUGUUUUUUGCUUUUAACUCCAGGCUGGGAACCAUCUUAAUCCAAGUUCAGGGCUGUAAGUUUUUUUGUUUUGUUUUGUUUUGUUUUUGAUUGCCCAGGUGAUGUUAAGCCAUGCUGAAAAUCCCAGAAGGAAGGAAGGAAAGGAUGGAGGAGUGAGGGAGGGAGGAAGAGGAAGAAAGAAAGGAAGAAAGAGAGAGAGAGAGAAAAGAAAGAAAGAGAUAAAGAAAGAAAGAAAGAAAGAAAGAAAGAAAGAAAGAAAGAAAGAAAGAAAGAAAGAAUGAAAGGGAGGGAGGGAGGGAGGGAAAAGAAAAGAAAAGAAAAGAAAAGAAAAGAAAAGAAAAGAAAAGAAAAGAAAAGAAGAAAAGGGAGGGAGGGAGGAAGGAAGAAAGAAGGAGACGUUCCCAUUGUAGUGCAGUGGAAAUGAAUCCGACUAGGAACCUUGAGGUUGUGGGUUUGAUCCCUGGCCUCGCUCAGUAGGUGAAGGAUCUGGCAUUGCUGUGAGCUAUUGGUAGGUAGCAGAUGCAGCUUGGAUCCUGCAGUGCUGUGGCUAUGGCAUAGGCCAGCAUCUGUAGCUCUGAUUCGACCCCUAGCCCGGGAACCUCCACAAGCCUGCCACGAGUGUGACCCUAAAAAGCUAAAAGAAAAGAAAGAAGGAAGGAAAGAAAAAAAAAGAAUAAAGACAGAAUUACUUUUAGUGCACCCUUACUCUGAGAAUAAAACCAGUCAGGGUACCAGCUUAGUAGGUAUAUGGGAGAAUGAGUAUUAGACUCUCAUCACAAGCUGCAAACCUGGGCUUUAACUUCUCUUCCCCUUGGCUCAUGCAAUCCACAGAACUACAGCUCAGUUAGCAGUUAUUUCUUAACAUAUCAACAAAUGACCUCAGAAUAAAAGUUGCUUUGAGUGAGCAACUUAACCUCUUCCAAGAUUUUGGCUUGUAAUUCCUUACUAUCUAGUUGGAUUUUUAGGGCUUUAAAAUUAUGAUUUUCAUAUUUUAUCUGGAGUUUUGUUUUCCCAGGAGAAAAGCUAAUCUAAAUUUCCUAGAUGGCCAUUUCAGGAGUUAUUAUAUCAUAUGUUAAUUUAAAAAUAUCAAAUUAGAAAAUAAGGAAAAAAAAUAAAAAUAAUUUGAAACACCACUGUCGGAGAUAUCCAGUAUUAAAAUUGUAGCAAACAUCUUUUCAGAACUCUAUGCAUACAUUCAAACAUAAAUUAUUCUAUAUAAACAUAAACCUGUAUUAUGAGCUAGUCUAUAACUUUGACUCAACAUAAUCAUUUUUAUGUUAAUAUAGACAGAUAUUAUCAUCUAUAAUAUUUGCAUAGUAAUAUCUAAGACUUAUUGAGUACUUACGUGCAUGAGUUUUCAAUGCAUUAAUUCAUUCCAUCUUUGUCACACUUUCCAUGAUAGAGGUUAUAAAUUAUGAAGUUAUUUUAGAGAUUUUAAAACAUUUCAUAUCUUAGCAAAUUUAGGCAGAGACAUUAAAUGAUGUGAUCAAAAUUGUACAAGUGGUAAGGCCAGAUUUAAACUCAGACAGUCUGACUCCAGAGUCUGGCUUGCUUAUAAGAGCUGCACAGUGCAUAAUGUUCCACUGCAUGGAUGUAAUUAAUUUAUUAAACCAAGCCCCUACUGAUGGAUAAUUCAAUUAUUCACAAUGGUUUUUUUUUUUUUUUAUUAUAUAAAAACGACUUUUAAAAAUCCUUGCCCAUAUAUCUUUAUGUACUUGUUUAUUUAUAUCCUCAGAGAAAAUUCCUACAAAGAGAAUUGCCAUGUCAAGGGAAUAUACAUUUAAAAUUUUAAAUUCUGGUACAUACUGCCAAACUGCAUUCCAGAAAGGUUUACCAUGUCACAGUUCCUCAGCCAGUUUAUGAAAGUGCCUUAUCCGCUGGCUUCCAUUUUAGCACUGUUUUGCCAUUAUUUUCCUCUGUGAUGCUCUGAGCAUUGUUAUUUGCAUUUCUUUUCAAACUGUGCUAUUGAACCGUUACUGUCUAGUGAGCUCUCUAGAUUCCCUUUUGCUGAUUUCUUCUAUUCAAUACUGGCUUUGUCCUGCUGUUUUCUCUUCAUCAGUUUGUCCCAUGGAAAAUUCAGCUUUGUGGUUAUGUUUCUUUUCAGAAAGCAUUUUUUCAAGAUGCAGGAUUAUUCAGAGUCUCUCCUAAACCAUAUUUUCUGAUUAGGAUGCAGCUACCUCAAUGACUAAGAUACUAAUUUCAGAGCUGUGAUUCUUUUCCCCCUGAAUGCUGCAGAAUCUGUUCACUUCUUUUUAAAAAUAAAAAAAAAAAUUUUUAUGGGUGCACCCCCAGCAUAUGGAGGUUGCCAGUGAUAAAAUCCAAGCCACAGAUAUGACCUACACCACAGCUGCAGCAAUGCCUAGAUCCUUAACCCACUGUAUCACAGUGGGAACUCCUCACUUCAUUUCUUUAUCUCCUUUCUAGUCAAAGAAGCUGAGCAAUUGCCAGUAUCUCAGCAGUUUUUUUCCAGGCCCAUAUGACCUUCUACUUAAUGGUGUGUGGGCUUUGGAGAAUGCAGAUUUAAAACUGUCUUACUACUGAAGGUCACUCUUGUAGUCCAUCUGUUGAGUUGUACCCUGCAGGUCUGCAAGCCCUGUACUUGCCCAGCCUCAAGAAUGAAGAAAGAGCCUGGAAUCAACAAACAGACAUGGACAGGGAGAUCUUACAUGUUUGAAAAAACAUCCUGGAGCAACACCCCACCAUGUGUGGCAGACAGUGGGCAGGAUAUGGUGGCAGUCUUUACAACCAGGGCGGGAGGUGUGGAGGGAGGUUACCAGUCAGCUUGGUUCAUGGGUUACCAGGGAAACCAGCCUAUGAACUGGCCCCUCACCACCCCUUUGAUAAGCUAUCAGAUAGAGCAGACACAGUUUUCAUCAGAACAAUCAUUAGCUGGGGCUGGGGCAAGUAUGUAGACAUUGAUUAGGCUCAAUGACUUGGAAGUCAGUCAUGUGACUAGGGUACAGGUGAAUCAGAGAUCAGUCAGCAGGGAAGGUACAGAAAGCAGAACAGCCAUUGGGUGGUCUGACCAUACACCAUCCAAGAGCAAUUUACAAUCAAAGAACUUCAGUUUAGAUAGACCCAAAACUAAAUUUUCAAGGUAGCCCUCCUGCCUUCCUUCCUUCCCUCCUUCCAUUCUCACACACUUCUUUAUAAUUUCUCAAACACCGUGAAGGCAAUAUACAUUUCAAAAGAUCAGUUCUUAAAAUUCCACUUUCUCUCCUACUUCUCUUAUAUAUUCCAUUUUCUUCCCCCCUUCUAUUUCUCUAGCAAAAUUUCUCCUUACAGCUUGCCUGUCAUGCUCCCAAAUCUGCAUUUCUAAAGCCCAAAGAAUACUUCUAAAACUGUCUGUCACAUCACUGGAGAGCAAGGAAGAGGAAACAAAUGAACAGAGGAAACUGAAAAACCAGAUUCCUCCUCUAUAGGAAAUGGAAAUGCUGAGGAAAUGGUGAAAAAGCAUGUGCUGAUACUGUUAGUCCUAUCAGAAAGAGAAGUGCACAGUGUUUCAAUAUGUGUCUACAUAAGUUCUAGUCCUUUCUCUCUGAUGUGCUGAUGGGCAGGAAUGAUGAUAAACAGAUAAACUCUGCCACUGCCAGGGAGGGGGUGCUCAGGACAAUGAAGUAAACAGGAGGGAUUUCUUGCCUUGGGGAAAUGAGGGGAAUUAGCACAGCUCUGACACUGCUGUUACAGUGAUCCAAUGCCAUAUAAACAAACACAAAAAAUUAGAGAUCAGUAAAAGAGGUCUCCAAAAUAGGUGCAAAUGAAGCAACUAUCAAGGAGAAGGGUAUACAAUACAUGGAGUUCCCUGUUGUCCUAGCCAUUCCACCUUUCUUUUCAUUAGUGUUUAUACGGGAUAUCUUUUCUCUUCUUUCACUUUUAACCUUUCUCUGCCUUUAUACUGAAAGUGUGUUUCUUGUACAUUGUUACAAGAAAUAAGAACAAAUUGGUUCUUUUCUUUUUUUCUGCUUUUUAGGGCCACACCUGCAGCAUAUGGAAGUUCUCAAUCUAGGGGUUGAAUUGGAGCUGCAGCUGCCAGGUUAUGCCACAGCCACAGCAAUGCCAGAUCUGAGCCGUGUCUGCGACCCACACCACAGCUCUUGGCAAGGCCAGAUCCUUAAGCCACUGAGUGAGGCCAGGGAUUGAACCUGCAACCUCAUGGUUCCUAGUCAGAUUCGUUUCUGCUGCACCACAACGGGAACUACUGGUCCUUAUUUUUAUAUUUUAUAAUCUGUUUUUUAACUGAGAUGAUUUAGACCAUUUAUAUUUAAUGCAAUUAUCGAUAUAACUGGGUUUAUAUCUAUAAUAUUCCUGCUUGUUUUUUAUUUAACGUAUUUAUUCUUCAUUACUUUGUCCUUCUUUUCUCAUCUUUUGGAUUGAAUAUUUUUGAGUACGUUCUCUAAGUUGUACCAUAUAUAUCUUCAAUUUAUUACAGUUUACCUUCACAUAAGACUACAAAUAUGCAUACAGUUAAAGAAUCUUAACAAUAGUGUGUUUCCAUUUCCCUGUCCCUAUCCUUCAUUCCCAUACAUUUUACUACCACUUGUAUUAUGAACCCCACCAUGCUUGUUGCUAAUUUUGAUUUAAACAAUUAUAUUUACAAGGUAGUAAAAAUUAGAAAAAUAUUUCUUUUGUAUUUAUUUACAUAUUUACCAUUUCCAGGGCUCUGCAUUAGUGGGUGGGUGUAUUUGCACACGUGUGGUUUCAAAUUUCCAUCAGAAAUCAUUUCAUUUCAGUCUGAAAAGCUUCCUUUAACAUGCUUUCUAGUGCAGAUCUGGUAACAAUGAAUUUUCUUAGCUUUCUUUUGUCUGAAAUUCUUUACCUUCAUCUUUUAAUGUUUUCAUUAGGUUUAGAAUUCUAGGUUGACUGCUCUCGCCCUCACUUUAAAAAUAUCCCUUGAAGGUAUUCUCAAGAAGUCUGCUGUCAUAUUAUAUUCCUCCAUAUGUAAUAUGUAUUUUUCAUUCUUGAAUGUUUUUUACCUUCAUUUACUUAUUCCUUCUCUAAUGGAAUCCCUUUUUAAAUUAUUUAUUCUUCUCUAAUUCCUUCAUUUAUUUAUCUUUCUCUAAUGUUCUUCCUUUAUGUAAAUUUAAGCCUCUGACUUAUACCAUGCUCUUUCUCUCUGAAGAACUUACUUUAACAUUUCCUACAAGACAAGCCCACUGGCAGCAAAUUCUGUCAAUUUUUUUUUUUUUUGUCUGAGAAAGUCUUUACUUCUUCACACAGUUUUCUGAGGAAAACUUGGAUAUAAUUCUUAUCUUUGCACCUCUUUAUAUAUUUUUUUUCACUCUGCUUUCUUUCAAGCUUUUUCUUCAUCUUUUAAAUUCUUCAGUUUGAAGGUGAUUUACCUAGGUAUAGUCUUUUUGAUUGUUUUUCUGAAUGUGUGUGAGGUUUUUGUUUUGUUUUGUUUUGCAUUUACUCUCCCAGCUGUUCUCUGAACUUUGGAUCCAUGGCUUAGGAUCUCACAUUAAUUUGGGGGAAAUUCUCCAUUAUUAGGACUUCAAAUAUUGCAUCUGCUCCAUUUUCUUUUUUCUCCUUUUGUAGUCAACCAACAGUUCUUGGAUAUUGCUCCAUUCCCACAAUGGGAACUCCUUUUCAGUCAUUUUUAACUUUGCUUUUUAGUCUCAGAGUUCC
rnacentral:lncRNA from 1 species